rnacentral:rRNA from 1 species
AUUGAACGCUGGCGGCAGGCCUAACACAUGCAAGUCGAGCGGAUGAAGAGAGCUUGCUCUCUGAUUCAGCGGCGGACGGGUGAGUAAUGCCUAGGAAUCUGCCUGGUAGUGGGGGACAACGUUUCGAAAGGAACGCUAAUACCGCAUACGUCCUACGGGAGAAAGUGGGGGAUCUUCGGACCUCACGCUAUCAGAUGAGCCUAGGUACGAUUAGCUAGUUGGUGAGGUAAAGGCUCACCAAGGCGACGAUCGUUAACUGGUCUGAGAGGAUGAUCAGUCACACUGGAACUGAGACACGGUCCAGACUCCUACGGGAGGCAGCAGUGGGGAAUAUUGGACAAUGGGCGAAAGCCUGAUCCAGCCAUGCCGCGUGUGUGAAGAAGGUCUUCGGAUUGUAAAGCACUUUAAGUUGGGAGGAAGGGCAGUAAGUUAAUACCUUGCUGUUUUGACGUUACCGACAGAAUAAGCACCGGCUAACUUCGUGCCAGCCGCCGCUGUAA